AAAACACAGGACUGUGCGAAGUCGAGAGACGACGUAUACGGUCUGACGCCUUCCGGCACCGG
rnacentral:rRNA from 1 species